rfam:Nicotiana attenuata strain TT chromosome 1, whole genome shotgun sequence.
UCCCACUGAUGAAUCAUUUAGUAAUCUGAAAUGUUACAUCAAUUGGUGCUCCCUUUUUGCAAUUUUUUUCGUAAAAAGGUUGAGGAACCAUAUCAUUUGCUAAUGCGGAUACUAGGCAUUCUGAGGGAU